rnacentral:rRNA from 1 species
CAGCAGCCGCGGUAAUACGAGUGCCCCAAGCGUUAUCCGGAUUUAUUGGGCGUAAAGCGUGGGUAGGCGGUUUUGAUAGUGGAUGGUUAAAUUCCAGAGCUUAACUUUGGAGCUGCCAUCCAAACGUCAAAACUAGAACAAGUGAGAGGCUAAUGGAACUUACCAAGUAGGGGUGAUAUCCGUUGAUAUGGUAGGGAACACCAAAGGCGAAGGCAUUUAGCUGGUGCUUAGUUGACGCUGAGCCACGAAAGCGUGGGUAGCGAACGAGAUUAGAUACCUCGGUAGUCCACGCCCUAAACGAUGCCAACUAGCUGUUUGAAGUAUCGACCCUUCAAGUGGCGAAGCUAACGCGUUAAGUUGGCCGCCUGGGAAGUACGGCCGCAAGGCUAAAACUCAAAGGAAUAGACGGGGACUUGCACAAGCGGUGGACCAUGUGGUUUAAUUCGACGGUACGCGAGGAACCUUACCAGGGCUAGACUACCUGAUGAAAGGUCUCCGAAAGGAAACCCUUCUCACAAGGACAUCAGGUCCAGGUGCUGCACGGUUGUCGUCAGCUCGUGCUGUGAAGCGUCCCCUUAAGUGGGUAAACGAGCGCAACCCUCACUGCCUGUUAUAUGUGUCAGGCAGAACUGCCUCUGUAUAAGAGGAGGAAGGUGAGGAUGACGCCAAAUCAGCGUGGCCCUUUGACGUCCUGGGCGACACACAUGGUACAAUGGCCAAUACAAUGGGUUGCCAAACCGUAAGGUGGAGCUAAUCCCAUCAAAGUUGGCCCCAGUUCGGAUUGAGGUCUGCAAUUCGACCUCAUGAAGUUGGAAUCGCUAGUAAUCGUGAAUCAGUCAUGUCACGGUGAAUACGUUCCCAAGUCUUGUACUCACCGCCCGUCACAUUAGGGAAGCCGGUAGUAGCCGAAGUUCUGUCUUAGGCAGACCUAAGCUAAGAUCGGUAACCAGAGUGAAGUCGUAACAAGGUAGCCGUA